CCUACGGGAGGCAGCAGUGAGGAAUAUUGGUCAAUGGGGGGAACCCUGAUGCAGCGACGCCGCGUGGGUGAAGGAGUGCUUCGGCAUGUAAAGCCCUAUCGGCAGGGAAGAAGCAAGACGGUACCUGACUAAGAAGCCCCGGCUAACUACGUGCCAGCAGCCGCGGUAAUACGUAGGGGGCGAGCGUUAUCCGGAUUCACUGGGUGUAAAGGGAGCGUAGACGGCCAUGCAAGCCAGGGGUGAAAGCCCGGGGCCCAACCCCGGGACUGCCCUUGGAACUGCAUGGCUGGAGGGCGGGAGGGGCAGGCGGAAUUCCUGGUGUAGCGGUGAAAUGCGUAGAUAUCAGGAGGAACACCGGCGGCGAAGGCGGCCUGCUGGACCGCGACUGACGUUGAGGCUCGAAAGCGUGGGGAGCGAACAGGAUUAGAUACCCGUGUAGUC
rnacentral:rRNA from 1 species